rnacentral:lncRNA from 1 species
CAUCAUAACAACGGAGUUCAUUAGAAAAUGAAAGCUUAUGAUAAAAAUGCCAAAUAUAUUUUAUUUAUUAACAAAUCAAUUACAAUACUUGGUUGCUCAACAGUCAACAGCUUGACGAUUGGCUUUUUGGGACACAUUUCCCAACAGGAGGUGCCAGAAGACAUUUCAAGCAAGAACCCUAAAAAUCCCGAAGAGAUCAGGCGAAAUAAGAGCCGAAAGGUUCGUGGGGGACCUAACAAGAGGAAUGCAACAGAAGAAAAAUGGAGGAGAAGGGGCACCU